ensembl:lncRNA
GCAGUAGUAGCUAUUGUUCCUGGAGCAGUUGUUGUGGUUCCUGCUGCAGUUGUUGUGGUUCCUGCACCGGUUGUUGUGGUUCCUGCACCGGUUGUUGUGGUUCCUGAACCGGUUGCUGUGGUUCCUGCACCGGUUGUUGUGGUUCCUGCACCAGUUGCUGUGGUUCCUGCUGCAGUUGUUGUGGUUCCUGCUGCAGUUGUUGUGGUUCCUGCUGCAGUUGUUGUGGUUCCUGCUGCAGUUGUUGUGGUUCCUGCAGCAGUUGUUGUGGUUCCUGCACCGGUUGUUGUGGUUGUUGUGGUUCCUGCUGCAGUUGUUGUGGUUCCUGCUGCAGUUGUUGUGGUUCCUGCCGCAGUUGUUGUGGUUUCUGCACCAGUUGGUGUGGUUACUGCCCCAGUUGGUGUGGUUACUGCCCCAGUUGUUGUGGUUUCUGCACCAGUUGUUGUAGUUCCUUCUGCAGUUGUUGUGGUUCCUGCAGCAGUUGUUGUGGUUCCUGCACCGGUUGUUGUGGUUCCUACUGCAGUUGUUGUGGUACCUGCAGCAGUUGUUGUGGUUCCUGCAGCAGUUGUUGUGGUUCCUGCAGCAGUUGUUGUGGUUCCUGCAGCAGUUGUUGUGGUUCCUGCAGCAGUUGUUGUGGUUUCUGCACCGGUUGUUGUGGUUCCUGCAGCAGUUGUUUUGGUUCCUGCAGCAGUUGUUGUGGUUCCUGCACCGGUUGUUGUGGUUCCUGCUGCAGUUGUUGUGUUUCCUGCUGCAGUUGUUGUGUUUCCUGCAGCAGUAGUUGUGUUUCCUGCAGCAGUCGUUGUGGUUCCUGCAACAGUCGUUGUGGUUCCUGCAACAGCCGUUGUGGUUCCUGCACCGGUCGUUGUAGUUACUGCUGCAGUUGUUGUGGUUCCUGCACCGGUUGUUGUGGUUCCUGCAGCAGUUGUUGUGGUUGUUGCAGCAGUUGCUGUGGUUGUUGCUGCAGUUGUUGUAGUUACUGCUGCAGCUGUUGUUGAUUCAGCAGUUGUUGUGGUUGUUGCUGCAGUUGUUGUAGUUACUGCUGCAGUUGUUGUGGUUCCUGCACCGGUUGUUGUGGUUCCUGCAGCAGUUGUUGUGGUUGUUGCAGCAGUUGCUGUGGUUGUUGCUGCAGUUGUUGUAGUUACUGCUGCAGCUGUUGUUGAUUCAGCAGUUGUUGUGGUUGUUGCUGCAGUUGUUGUAGUUACUGCUGCAGUUGUUGUGGUUCCCGCACCGGUUGUUGUGGUUCCUGCAGCAGUUGUUGUGGUUGUUGCUGCAGUUGUUGUAGUUACUGCUGCAGCUGUUGUUGAUUCAGCAGUUGUCGUGGUUGUUGCUGCAGUUGUUGUAGUUACUGCUGCAGUUGUUGAGGUUCCAGUAGUUGUUGUUGAUUCCGCAGUUGUUGUUGUUGGUUCAGCAGUUGUUGUUGAUGUUGUAUUCUCAGCACUUAUAGUUACAGGUACAGUAACAAGCAGUAUGGCCACUAUUUGUAAAGAGCAAAAGGAUUAUUGCAUGCAAAUCUAUAUCUAAGAGCUCUAUAUUUUAUGAUUAUAUUAUUAAUGUCAUACUUACGUGUAAUUAUCAGUAAUUUUGACGUAAACCCCAUUGUGUCUCUUCUUGAACCUAUAAUUUGUGACAGUACAAUGACUUUUUCUGGAUCACAGGAUGUAAACAGAACCCUAUAUCAACUUAAUGUUGACUUUGUCUCUUGAUUUUGUGUUUCAUAAUUAUUAAAUCUGUUUUUCUCACUCUUGAAUGUGCAGCUUCUCCUCUGUUUUGGAAUCAUUUCGCAAUUUCAAAUACAGUCUAAACAACAUCAUUGUAAAACAACAAGCAUUGUUCUCUUCAGUGUAUUAUCUGUGCCUGGAUUUGCACUGAUAGCUCAUGAAUGCAUUAUUUUCUAUUUUUGAAUUUUGCUUUGCUGCAAUGGGUAGGCGACCUGUCCAGGCGUACCCUGCCUCUCGCCCAUAGCCAGCAGGGAUACGCUCCAGCACCCCCGCGACCCCGCAUAUGGUAUUAAGUGGUAUGGAAAAUGGAUGGAUGGAUGGAAUUUUGCUUUGUUGUGUAAAAAACUAAAAACAUAAAUAAUGAGGAAGAGGUAAUCAGUGGAAAAAUGACUGUAUUUAUACAUGUUACUUAAUCAUUACUUUCUUGGUUCAGUGUUUUCAAAAAUUAUAAGAAAUUUAAAUUAAUAAAUAUAUUUUUAAAACCUAUUAUCA